AUUGAACGCUGGCGGCAUGCCUUACACAUGCAAGUCGAACGGCAGCACGGGGCAACCUGGUGGCGAGUGGCGAACGGGUGAGUAAUGCAUCGGAACGUACCUUUCAGUGGGGGAUAACGUAGCGAAAGUCACGCUAAUACCGCAUAUUCUGUGAGCAGGAAAGCAGGGGAUCGCAAGACCUUGCGCUGAUUGAGCGGCCGAUGUCAGAUUAGCUAGUUGGUGAGGUAAAGGCUCACCAAGGCGACGAUCUGUAGCGGGUCUGAGAGGAUGAUCCGCCACACUGGAACUGAGACACGGUCCAGACUCCUACGGGAGGCAGCAGUGGGGAAUUUUGGACAAUGGGGGCAACCCUGAUCCAGCCAUGCCGCGUGAGUGAAGAAGGCCUUCGGGUUGUAAAGCUCUUUCGGCCGGGAAGAAAUCGCACGGGCUAAUACCCUGUGUGGAUGACGGUACCGGAAUAAGAAGCACCGGCUAACUAUGUGCCAGCCGCCGCAGUAAUAC
rnacentral:rRNA from 1 species